GUCACGACCGGACCUAAUUAAGGAUAAUUAAGUCGGGGAAACCAUGACUAAGGGAGGGAGAUUAGAAGCGGGAAUAGAAAGGGGUGAAUAAAUAAUGAAGGCUCGAAAUCAAAUCAUUGUUAAGGAGGGACAAUCAUAAGAUAACUGUUGUUUAGUCGCAAGGACUCGAUUAACUCGUAAGUUCGGAUGAACCCGACUUAGCUUAAAGACAUAUUACUUGAGAGUAUGCAGCGGAAUAACAUAAUCUGAUUACAUGUAUGAAGACAUGUAUCCAAGAGUCCAUUUAUUAAACUUAUGACAAAAGCUCCGCUCAUCACUUCAUCUUCAUCAGCCAUUGCUCAACCUGCACAUUUAGAAAUAUAUGCAGGGCUGAGUACAAAAGUACUCAGUGGGCACGUAUGCCUAAGUAUAAAAAUACAUGCUUCAAAACUGUAAAUUGUCAUGCCAUCAUAAACAGUACAGCAAGGGAGUUUUUCGCUAAAAGGCCCAAGCUUACUAAAUUCAUUUGUGAUUCUUAAAGUUGG
rnacentral:lncRNA from 1 species